CGGCGGCGCCAGCCACUCGGAGCUAAUCCACAACCUCCGCAAAAAUGGAAUCAUAAAGACAGAUAAAGUAUUUGAAGUGAUGCUGGCUACAGACCGCUCCCACUAUGCAAAGUGUAACCCUUAUAUGGAUUCUCCACAAUCAAUAGGUUUCCAAGCAACAAUCAGUGCUCCACAUAUGCAUGCAUAUGCACUAGAACUUCUAUUUGAUCAAUUGCAUGAAGGAGCUAAAGCUCUUGAUGUAGGAUCUGGAAGUGGAAUCCUUACUGCAUGUUUUGCACGUAUGGUUGGAUGUAGUGGAAAAGCCAUAGGAAUUGAUCACAUUAAGGAAUUAGUAGAUGACUCCAUAAAUAAUGUCAGAAAGGACGAUCCAACACUUUUGUCUUCAGGGAGAGUACAGUUGGUUGUGGGAGAUGGAAGAAUGGGCUAUCCUGAAGAAGCCCCUUAUGACGCUAUUCAUGUAGGAGCUGCAGCUCCAGUUGUGCCUCAGGCCGGACGAGCUGUAAAAGCAACAUCAGCUUGACCAGUCUAUAAUAUUGCAGUGGAUUGUUCAUCUCGGUCCCUAAAGCUCUUUGAAAACCAACAGCAUCACAGCUUGUUUUGGACUUUGUUACACUAUUAUUUUCAGCAUGAAAAUGUGUGGUUUUGUAGGGUUUUCUAAUUCUUUAGAGAGGCACAGAACCAAAUUGGUGGAGGAAGGAUGUAAAGUAUAAAUUUCUAUAUGAUUACUUUAACAUGCCCACAUUUUACUUUAAAAUA